rnacentral:rRNA from 1 species
UACGGGAGGCAGCAGUGGGGAAUAUUGCACAAUGGGCGCAAGCCUGAUGCAGCCAUGCCGCGUGUAUGAAAAAGGCCUUCGGGUUGUAAAGUACUUUCAGUCGUGAGGAAGGUGUUAAGGUUAAUAACCUUAGCAAUUGACGUUAGCGACAGAAGAAGCACCGGCUAACUCCGUGCCAGCAGCCGCGGUAAUACGGAGGGUGCGAGCGUUAAUCGGAAUUACUGGGCGUAAAGGGCACGCAGGCGGUUAAUUAAGUUGGAUGUGAAAUCCCCGGGCUUAACCUGGGAAUGGCAUUCAAGACUGGUUAGCUAGAGUCUUGUAGAGGGGGUAGAAUUCCAUGUGUAGCGGUGAAAUGCGUAGAGAUGUGGAGGAAUACCGGUGGCGAAGGCGGCCCCUGGACAAAGCUGACGCUCAUCGUGCGAAAGCGUGGGGAGCAAAC